rnacentral:rRNA from 1 species
AGCGAACGCUGGCGGCAUGCUUAACACAUGCAAGCCGCACGAACCUUUCGGGGUUAGUGGCGGACGGGUGAGUAACGCGUAGGAAUCUAUCCACGGGUGGGGGAUAACUCUGGGAAACUGGAGCUAAUACCGCCUGCUACCUGAGGGUCAAAGGCGCAAGUCGCCUGUGGAGGAGCCUGCGUGCGAUUAGCUAGUUGGUGGGGUAAAGGCCUACCAAGGCGAUGAUCGAUAGCUGGUUUGAGAGGAUAAUCAGCCACACUGGAACUGAGACACGGCCCAGACUCCUACGGGAGGCAGCAGUGGGGAUUAUUGGAUAAGGGGGGCAACCCUGAGCCAGCAAUGCCGCGUGUGGGAAGAAGGUCUUCGGAUUGUAAAGCACUUUCGACGGGGACGAUGAUGACGGUACCCGUAGAAGAAGCCCCGGCUAACUUCGUGCCAGCCGCCGCCGUAA